GGGGAAUAUUGGGCAAUGGGCGCAAGCCUGACCCAACAACGCCGCGUGAAGGAAGAAGGCUUUCGGGUUGUAAACUUCUUUUGACAGGGAAGAGCAGAAGACGGUACCUGUCGAAUAAGCCACGGCUAACUAC
rnacentral:rRNA from 1 species